rnacentral:tRNA from 1 species
UCUUGAGUCACAGUGCAGUUGGUAGAUUGCUUGCCUAGCAUGCAUGAAGCCCUGGGUUCAAUCCCCAGCCCACAGGAA